UGAUCAUGGCUCAGAUUGAACGCUGGCGGCAGGCCUAACACAUGCAAGUCGAGCGGUAGCGGGAAGAGCUUGCUCUUUGCCGACGAGCGGCGGACGGGUGCGUAACACGUAGGAAUCUGCCCGGUAGUGGGGGAUAGCCCGGAGAAAUCCGGAUUAAUACCGCAUACGCCCUAAGGGGGAAAGCAGGGGAUCUUCGGACCUUGCGCUAUCGGAUGAGCCUGCGUCGGAUUAGCUGGUUGGUGGGGUAAAGGCCUACCAAGGCAACGAUCCGUAGCUGGUCUGAGAGGAUGAUCAGCCACACUGGGACUGAGACACGGCCCAGACUCCUACGGGAGGCAGCAGUU
rnacentral:rRNA from 1 species